rnacentral:rRNA from 1 species
GCUUAACACAUGCAAGUCGAGCGGCAGCGAGGUUAGUAGCAAUACUAAUUGUCGGCGAGCGGCGGACGGGUGAGGAACACGUAGGGAUCUGCCUUAGAGAGUGGGAUAACCAAGGGAAACUUUGGCUAAUACCGCAUAAACUCGGGAGAGAAAAGCUGCCUGCAAGGGUGGCGCUUUAAGAGGAGCCUGCGUCCGAUUAGCUAGUUGGUAGGGUAAAGGCCUACCAAGGCGAUGAUCGGUAACUGGUCUGAGAGGACGACCAGUCACACUGGGACUGAGACACGGCCCAGACUCCUACGGGAGGCAGCAGUGGGGAAUCUUGGACAAUGGGGGCAACCCUGAUCCAGCGAUGCCGCGUGGGUGAAGAAGGCCUUCGGGUUGUAAAGCCCUUUAGGUUGGGAAGAAGUGCAUAAGUUUAAGAGAUGUAUGCAUUGACGGUACCGACAGAAUAAGCACCGGCAAACUCUGUGCCAGCCGCCGCGGUAA